CCUACGGGAGGCUGCAGUGGGGAAUAUUGCACAAUGGGGGAAACCCUGAUGCAGCGACGCCGCGUGAGUGAAGAAGUAAUUCGUUAUUUAAAGCUCUAUCAGCAGGGAAGAAAAUGACGUUACCUGAGUAAGAAGCCCCGGCUAACUACGUGCCAGCAGCCGCGGUAAUACGUAGGGGGCAAGCGUUAUCCGGAUUUACUGGGUGGAAAGGGAGCGUAGACGGCAGUGCAAGUCUGGGGUGAAAGGCGGGGGCUCAACCCCCGGACUGCUCUGGAAACUGUACGGCUGGAGUGCAGGAGAGGUAAGUGGAAUUCCUAGUGUAGCGGUGAAAUGCGUAGAUAUCAGGAGGAACACCAGUGGCGAAGGCGGCUUACUGGACUGUAACUGACGUUGAGGCUCGAAAGCGUGGGGAGCAAACAGGAUUAGAUACCCUAGUAGUC
rnacentral:rRNA from 1 species